GUGGCGCGCAAAAUGGCGGCGCCCAUGGCGAGCGCGGGGUUGGGUGAGACACGGGGGGAACCGGGACCCCCCCGGGACCCCCCAGAACCUCCUCAGCGGGACUGAUGGGCCCCGAACCCCCGGGAGGGACAGGAGAGGAUCGUCCGGGACGUCCUGGGACCCCUGGGAGGGACGGUGGGAGGGGUGAGUCCCGGGACCCCCUGGGACCCCCGAGGUCCCCCCGGGCCUCCAGAGAGCCGCCCCCUCCUCUCCUCUCCCCCCAGGCCGGGGGUCCUGACCCGGAGGAGGCAGCGGUGGGGCUGGGAAUGACUUGGGAAUGACCUGGGAUCGACUGGGAUGAGCCACGGCGGCCCCAGCCAGGAGCAGGAUGGCAGAUUCCGUGGAGGACGUGCUCACGGAUCUCCUGGGAUUCGAUGAGGAUCCUCCGGUUCCCCCUUCCUGCGGAUCCCGACUCACCUGCGCCCAGGUGAGCUCCAGG